rnacentral:misc_RNA from 1 species
CCGAGUACCGGUACCCUCUUGGGUACCUGCUCCCACCAUUUGUGAACCUUUUUCGUUGCCUCGGCGGACCGGUGGUUACCCCACCCCUCGGCCCUCACGGGCUGGGGAGCGUCCGCCAGAGGAUUCUCAAACCCGUCUUAACCGUGGAAUCUGAGUUUAAACAAAAUAAAAACA